rnacentral:tRNA from 1 species
GCAUCAGUGGUUUAGUGGUAAAAUCCAUCGUUGCCAUUCAAUGAAUAAAUUCGAUGGGCCCCGUGUUCGAUUCACGGCUGAUGCA